rnacentral:lncRNA from 1 species
AGGUGGGGCUGAAGGAGCCCGACGGGGUUCCCGCCGCCCCGACUUCGCCCCGGAGCCCGGUCGUAGGCCUCGCCGCCGCCUGCCCCUUCCGCCCGGCCUGUUCCCUCGGCCUCGCCGGCGAGCCCGGCUGGACUCCCGGGCCGCAGCAAGGCCUUCCCCCGGGCCGGGAAACAUCCCCGGGGCUGCUCGUGGUUAGGCUAGCUUAAAAGGAUCGUUAGUAUUUAUUAUUCAGGGAAUUGGUGUAAGUGACACCAACAAAAUACCAUUCUGUCGUAUAACGCAGGGAGGGGAGCAGGUGUGACCAGGCUGGGUGGCGGAAGGAGCCUGUCCAGGCACUGGAGCGCUUCCCCACCACCCAUGGUGCGUUGGUCUGUGUUGCUGAUAGAGGAUAUUAAUCCUUCCACCUAACUGGGAGAUUGUGUCUAAAUUCCAGGGUUUUACCAGUAAAAAAGCUGAGUAACAAGGUAGAUUUGGGAAGCGGUUUUGUGGGUUGCCAAGACUAGACUCCACUGCACUCAUAGAGGAAGAAAAUUGCAGAACUGAGGACCCUCUGCCUGAGCAAGUAGGAGAAUUAAUUUCAAGAGCAGCAGCUCAUCUAUCCCCGAUGACUCUACAAGUGAAGCCCAGGGAAACAAGUUGCACACAUCUUCAGGGAGAGACUCAGCUGCUCAGGACAGCAAGCCUUGGGUUCAUUCAAAAGAACUGUCUUUGGAGAUACUUAGAAGAACAUGAUACCCAAGAAGACGGAGCAGUCUGUGUAAACAAUGGACCAGGCAGCUGA